AUUCUGCCAGGAAUCCAGCUGUCUGAAUUACCCACACUUGCCUGCCUUAGGCCUUCAUUCUCAGCAGGCAUGUGUGCCUGGGUUUGCUACCAGCAGCCAUUUCCUCACCCUUAAAUAGGGAUGGGUCUCCCCUUUUCUUUUUCUCAUUUUCCUAGAGGUUACAAGAUUCCUGUUUUUCUCACCAGGAAGAGUUCAUCCUCAGUGAGCUCACAGCAGUCAUACAUUGCCAAUGUUUGUCCUCAAGUGGAAGGAGAAAGGCCUUCAGAAAAAAAAUCGUAUGCAAACCUAAUGCUACCACCAGCAGUAGCUCUGAAUCAAGAUUUUUGGGAGAAUUAGGCUUACUAAAGAUAAACUACAAUAAGUCUCAAGGAGGCAAAUAAUUCUAAUUCUACUGAGGAAUCAAAGAAUAAAGGCAGCUCUUAAGAUCAAGUACUCUGACUAGAAAAUAUCCUCAUAUUUGAUGGAAGAGAGCAUGAGACAGAGAACCAAGUUCCUUAAAGUACGGACGUGAACUGUCUGUGGGUGACUUGCCUGGAUGUGGCUAUAGCUGCAGUCCCCAAAGUCGAAGCUACCAGAAUAGGUCAGAUAAGGAUGGCCCAAAGAUUAUGGAGUUGCUGGCCCCAAAGCAAGUCAGACAUUAUGGGAAGUUUGCAUGUAUCAUGCCCUUGGAUAGACAACCUAAAUCAUAUCUCAUCGACCAUAGAUCCUGGUCAGCAUACCAAGUCAAGGCAAGUAAAGACUGAAGAAAUAUCACCUGGUCUGCAGCUCCCCCCAAAACAAAGUCUGCUGCUGAUGGCAGAAACAUAGAUAGACCAAGGGUAUCACUACAUUAUGAUGAAGGAAGGAACAACCCCAUGAAUUCACUCAUGUCUUGAAUCACCUAGAGAAGAGAGGGAAACUGCCAAAGUGGAGACAAUGGAAAUGCGGUUCUAAAUUUGGAGGAAAUGAGAUUCACUCUCAGAUCAGAUGAAUAGUAAAAGGCCUAGGAUACAAUGGAGUAUUAAACAAAUAUUUAAAAGUA